rnacentral:rRNA from 1 species
AGAGUUUGAUCCUGGCUCAGAGUGAACGCUAGCGGCGUGGUUAAGACAUGCAAGUCGAGCGAUGAAGUCCCUUCGGGGAUGGAAUAGCGGCAAACGGGUGCGUAACACGUGAGCAACCUGCCUUGAAGUGGGGGAUAGCCCGGGGAAACCCGGAUUAAUACCGCAUGUGGUGCCUUCUCGCAUGAGAAGUGGACCAAAGCUUGUAAAGGCGCUUCAAGAGGGGCUCGCGGCCUAUCAGCUUGUUGGUGAGGUAAAGGCUCACCAAGGCGAAGACGGGUAGCUGGUCUGAGAGGAUGAUCAGCCACACUGGGACUGAGAUACGGCCCAGACACCUACGGGUGGCAGCAGUUUCGAAUCAUUCACAAUGGGGGAAACCCUGAUGGUGCAACGCCGCGUGGAGGAUGAAGGCCUUCGGGUUGUAAACUCCUGUCACCAGGGAACAAACAGUCGGUUCGUAGCCGGCUCUGAGUUAACCUGGAGAGGAAGAGGUGGCUAACUCCGUGCCAGCAGCCGCGGUAAUACGGAGACCUCAAGCGUUACUCGGAUUCACUGGGCGUAAAGAGUAUGUAGGCUGUCUGGUAUGUCAGGUGUGAAAGCCCGGGGCUCAACCUCGGAAUUGCGCCUGAAACUACCGGACUCGAGGCCUGGAGAGGGGAGUGGAAUUCCUGGUGUAGCGGUGAAAUGCGUAGAUAUCAGGAGGAACACCAAUGGCGAAGGCAGCUCCCUGGACAGGUUCUGACGCUGAGAUACGAAAGCGUGGGUAGCGAAAGGGAUUAGAUACCCCUGUAGUCCACGCCGUAAACGUUGUACACUAGGUUUCGGAGGGCCUACCCCUUCGGAGCUCCAGCUAACGCGUUAAGUGUACCGCCUGAGGACUACGGCCGCAAGGCUAAAACUCAAA